rnacentral:lncRNA from 1 species
GAGCUGCAGUUCAGGCUUGUCAAGCAGACGCGUGGUAAAGGCUGCAGCCAAGUGCACAGCACAUUUUCCUACGUGGAAAAACUGUGUUAGAGACAGAACAUUACUUAACAGUAGGUGGGCAGUUCAUUCCUAAACAGCUCAGUUCUUCCCCAUCAGGGCCCCUGCAGAAGCACGCUUCCGCCGGCUGUGGGAGUCAGAGACAGCUCUUGGAACUGUUAGGAGCAGACAGUGGCUACAGAAGACAGUCUCUUGGGAAGUCCCUGUCUGUGAUUUUCCUACGUAAACAACAUAAAACAAAACCCCUGGGCUUAUCUUUUGUACAAACAAGCAAUACAAAACUUUCUUCACAUGCAUGUGCUAGUUUGCUGUUCUCCCUGUAGGUUUCACCGCUCCGCAAAGGUGUUUUUGUCCAGACACAUAAAGAUGCCUAGAAGACUGAUGGCAAGGAAUACGGCGGUGGCCAGGAAAGUGGGCAUGACACCAAAGCCAGAACUGAGGAGAAGAAAAUACACAAAGGAUAAAGAAGGAAAAGAAAACUUCUUCCCUCCAGUUAGAGAGCUGUGAAGAUGUGAUCCUGGAAGCCGCGAAGAGCCAGUUAAGAAUCAGAGAGGAAAAUGAGGCAACAAGCAAAGAUCCUGCUGGCAUUCAAAUCCCUGUUUCAGAUCUCCCUGAGCUGACUACCUCCUCUGUCCCUCUGGCUGUUUGGUUACAUGAGCUAUUACCUUCCUGUUCUUCUGAGGCUAGAUCCAGUUGUAUUUCUGCCAGGUGAGACCAAAGAGUCCUCCCCAGUGCAGGCUCCUGGCAUUGCAAAGCUCCGUGUUAAGUGGUAAGGAUACAAAGACUGAUAAGAAAGCCUCUCAGGUCUGGUGAAG